GGACAAUGGAUUUACAGGCAUUGGGGAAUGAUUGGAUGUUGGUGAUGAAGCGAUAAAUGUGACUCAAAACAUGAACAACAGGAAGAACAGUAACAGCAUUCGGCAACAGCACACAUUGUUUCACUGUCUCUGACUGUGCGACAGACUUUAGAUUCAUUUAUCAUCAGUACAGUACACAAUAUUUAUGAAGUUUUAACCUGAACUUUUUUUACUUAAUUUUUCAGUUAUCAUUGUGGUGGAUACCACACCUGAUACAACUACCACUGCUCCACCCACCACACCUAAUUCAACUACCCCAGCUUCAACCGGUGAUGCACCAUUUGUCACAACUCCAUUGACAACAACAACUACCACUGCUUCACCCACCACACCUGAUACAACUAUCCCAGCUUCAACCGGUGAUGCACCAUUUGUCACAACUCCAUUGACAACAACAACUACCACUGCUUCACCCACCACACCCGAUACAACUACCCCAGCUUCAACCAGUGAUGCAGUGUUUGUCACAACUCCAUUGACAACAACAACUACCACUGCUUCACCCACCACACCCGAUACAACUACCCCAGCUUCAACCAGUGAUGCAGUGUUUGUCACAACUCCAUUGACAACAACAACUAUCACUGCUUCACCCACCACACCUGAUACAACUACCCCAGCUUCAACCAGUGAUGCACCAUUUGUCACAACUCCAUUGACAACAACAACUACCACUGCUUCACCCACCACACCUGAUACAACUACCCCAGCUUCAACCAGUGAUGCACCAUUUGUCACAACUCCAUUGACAACAACAACUACCACUCCUCCAACCACUACACCUGGAACAACUACCACUACUCCACUAACCACACCUGAUACAAAUACCCCACCUUCAACCAGUGAUGCACCAUUUGUCACAACUCCAUUGACAACAACAACUACCACUGCUUCAACCACCACACCUGAAACAACUACCACUACUCCAACCACCACACCUGAAACAACUACCACUACUCCAACAACCACAUCUGGAAGAACUACCACUACUCCACCCACCACACCUGAUACAACUACCACUACUCCAACCACCACACCUGAAACAACUACCACUACUCCAACCACCACACCUGAAACAACUACCACUACUCCAACAACCACAUCUGGAAGAACUACCACUACUCCACCCACCACACCUGAAACAACUACCACUACUCCAACAACCACACCUGAGACAACUACCACUACUCCAACCACCACACCUGAAACAACUACCACUACUCCAACCACCACACCUGAAACAACUACCACUACUCCAACCACCACACCUGAAACAACUACCACUACCCCAACAACCACACCUGAGACAACUACCACUACUCCAACCACCACACCUAAAACAACUACCACUACUCCAACAACCACACCUGAAACAACUACCACUACUUCAACUACCACACCUGAAACAACUACCACUACUCCAACAACCACACCUGAGACAACUACCACUACUCCAACCACCACACCUGAAACAACUACCACUACUCCAACAACCACACCUGAAACAACUACCACUGCCCCACCCACCACACCUGAAACAACUACCACUACUUCAACUUCCACACCUGAAACAACUACUACUACUCCACCCACCACACCUGGAAGAAAUACCACUACUCCACCCACCAUACCUCAAACAACUACCACUGCUUCAACUCCAGUGACAACAACAACCACAUCUUCAGGCCCCACUAACACAACAACCCGAGAACUACAAUCACUGGCACACCUGGAGCUAAAGCUAAAGUCUAUUGGAGAGAUCAGCAAAGUGACGAUCAUUGACUCCAUUAAUCAGUUUGUGCAGACUCACGUUCUGAGUGGAACACUCUUCAAUCUGAAUGUGACGAUUGUUUGACAUGGCUUGAACACACACUAUUCUGCAGACAUCCCACUACUAUUUGUGAUUACUGUACCCACAUCAGAGAAUAACGCACAAGGUCUGUUGGGUAAUUCUUGCUACUGUAAAACAUUUUGCUGUACUGUAGAAUUGAGGAGGAAGUUUAAGACACUGUGUUUAAGGUUAAGUUUUACAUUUUUCAUCAGUGUAAUUGUAUAAUUUUUUUUCUGAAUAUUAUUGUAAUAUUAUUUUGUUGUAAUGUAUAAGAACGUUAAAUGAUAUGAAAACUUAAUUAUUUGUUGUGUGAUUUGUUUGAGGCUAGAGAUAAUUUAGUCAUUGUUAUAGUAGAAGGUUUAUAUAAUUACUAGGUUUGCUUAAAGGAAAGGAUUUUAGGCAUGAUUCCUCCUCAUGUUCCUCAUGUUAUUAUGUUGUGUUAUACAUGUACCAUAAUGAAAGGCAGGACAUGACACAACACACACCAAAACAGGUUUAACAGAGUCUUGUUUAAUACACAACAGAAAGCUGAGACAGAAAAAAUUGGAUGGGCUGUAAUUAGUUCCUCGGAUCAUAAGAGCAAUAUCAAGAAAGUUAUGUCACAUAGGGAUGGCCUUUACUGAAGUAGAUGAUCCGUUUAGAGAAUACAGACGGACUCAGCAAUGAGGAAGCAGGGUGGUGGUCCCACGGUUUGCAAACAGGGGAACCUGUUAAACAGGAAACAUACAGGUGCAGAAGAAACUGAAUGAGGUUCAUUGUCCAUCAUUCUACAUGUAAAUAUUUGUUCCUAACAAAAGAUACCAUCCAGACACAAGUAAAUGAAUGCUGAUCAAAAUAAAGUGGCCAGUGAGUGAAAGUACUUAAGAAAC
ensembl:lncRNA